rnacentral:rRNA from 1 species
GUAGGUGGCAAGCGUUGUCCGGAAUUAUUGGGCGUAAAGCGCGCGCAGGCGGUUCUUUAAGUCUGAUGUGAAAGCCCACGGCUCAACCGUGGAGGGUCAUUGGAAACUGGAGAACUUGAGUACAGAAGAGGGAAGCGGAAUUCCACGUGUAGCGGUGAAAUGCGUAGAGAUGUGGAGGAACACCAGUGGCGAAGGCGGCUUUCUGGUCUGUAACUGACGCUGAGGCGCGAAAGCGUGGGGAGCAAACAGGGAUUAGAUACCCUGGUAGUCCACGCCGUAAACGAUGAGUGCUAAGUGUUAGGGGGUUUCCGCCCCCUUAGUGCUGCAGCUAACGCAUUAAGCACUCCGCCUGGGGAGUACGGCCGCAAGGCUG